UACGAAGGGGGCUAGCGUUGUUCGGAAUUACUGGGCGUAAAGCGCACGUAGGCGGAUUUUUAAGUCAGGGGUGAAAUCCCGGGGCUCAACCCCGGAACAGCCUUUGAUACUGGAGAUCUUGAGUCCGAGAGAGGUGAGUGGAAUUCCGAGUGUAGAGGUGAAAUUCGUAGAUAUUCGGAGGAACACCAGUGGCGAAGGCGGCUCACUGGCUCGGUACUGACGCUGAGGUGCGAAAGCGUGGGGAGCAAACAGGAUUAGAAACCCUCGUAGUCC
rnacentral:rRNA from 1 species